AACGAACGCUGGCGGCAUGCCUAACACAUGCAAGUCGAACGAGAUCUUCGGGUCUAGUGGCGCACGGGUGCGUAACGCGUGGGAAUCUGCCCUUUGGUUCGGAAUAACAGUUGGAAACGACUGCUAAUACCGGAUGAUGACGAAAGUCCAAAGAUUUAUCGCCAGAGGAUGAGCCCGCGUAGGAUUAGCUAGUUGGUGUGGUAAAGGCGCACCAAGGCGACGAUCCUUAGCUGGUCUGAGAGGAUGAUCAGCCACACUGGGACUGAGACACGGCCCAGACUUCUACGGGAGGCAGCAGUGGGGAAUAUUGGACAAUGGGCGAAAGCCUGAUCCAGUAAUGCCGCGUGAGUGAUGAAGGCCUUAGGGUUGUAAAGCUCUUUUACCCGGGAUGAUAAUGACAGUACCGGGAGAAUAAGCUCCGGCUAACUCCGUGCCAGCCGCCGCGGUAA
rnacentral:rRNA from 1 species